CCUACGGGCGGCAGCAGUGAGGAAUAUUGGUCAAUGGGCGUAAGCCUGAACCAGCCAAGUCGCGUGAGGGAUGAAGGCCCUACGGGUCGUAAACCUCUUUUGUCCGGGGACAACACCCGCUACGUGUGGCCGGAUGCAGGUACCGUGCGAAUAAGGGCCGGCUAACUCCGUGCCAGCAGCCGCGGUAAUACGGAAGGCGCGAGCGUUAUCCGGAUUUAUUGGGGUUAAAGGGAGCGUAGGCGGGCUUUCAAGUCAGCGGUAAAAUCCCGGGGCUCAACCGCGGCCCGCCGUUGAAACUGGACGUCUUGAGUGGGCGAGAGGUAGGCGGAAGGCGUGGUGUAGCGGUGAAAUGCAUAGAUAUCACGAAGAACUCCGAUUGCGAAGGCAGCAUGCCGGCGCCCGACUGACGCUGAGGCACGAAAGCGCGGGUAUCGAACAGGAUUAGAUACCCUGGUAGUC
rnacentral:rRNA from 1 species